GAUGAACGCUGGCGGCGUGCCUAAUACAUGCAAGUCGAGCGAACAGACGAGGAGCUUGCUCCUCUGACGUUAGCGGCGGACGGGUGAGUAACACGUGGAUAACCUACCUAUAAGACUGGGAUAACUUCGGGAAACCGGAGCUAAUACCGGAUAAUAUAUUUAACCGCAUGGUUCAAUAGUGAAAGACGGUUUUGCUGUCACUUAUAGAUGGAUCCUCGCCGCAUUAGCUAGUUGGUAAGGUAACGGCUUACCAAGGCAACGAUGCGUAGCCGACCUGAGAGGGUGAACGGCCACACUGGAACUGAGACACGGUCCAGACUCCUACGGGAGGCAGCAGUAGGGAAUCUUCCGCAAUGGGCGAAAGCCUGACGGAGCAACGCCGCGUGAGUGAUGAAGGUCUUCGGAUCGUAAAACUCUGUUAUUAGGGAAGAACAAAUGUGUAAGUAACUAUGCACGUCUUGACGGUACCUAAUCAGAAAGCCACGGCUAACUACGUG
rnacentral:rRNA from 1 species